rnacentral:rRNA from 1 species
AAUCAACGCUGGCGGCGUGCCUCAGACAUGCAAGUCGAACGCGAAAGUUUCCUUCGGGGAACAAGUAGAGUGGCGCACGGGUGAGUAACACGUAGGUAAUCUACCUUUGGAUGGGGAAUAACAACCGGAAACGGUUGCUAAUACCGCAUAAUGCAGCGGCACCUAAUGGUGACAGUUGUUAAAGCGGGGGAUCGAAAGACCUCGCGUCUGAAGAGGAGCCUGCGGCGGAUUAGCAGUUGGUAAGGUAAUGGCUUACCAAGGCUACGAUCCGUAACCGGCCUGAGAGGGCGGUCGGUCACACUGACACUGACAUACGGGUCAGACUCCUACGGGAGGCAGCAGUCGGGAAUUUGGGCAAUGGGCGAAAGCCUGACCCAGCAACGCCGCGUGAAGGAUGAAAUCCCUCGGGAUGUAAAC